rnacentral:lncRNA from 1 species
GAGAGGCAGAGAGGAAAUAGCAAGCAGCACACGAUUGUUUCCAAGCGAGAGGGUUCCUGGUAGAGAGCCAGGUGCUGGUACCCUGGUAGCCCAUGGAGCUCUGUGGGGCUGAGUGCUUCUCCCUGUGGGGGUAUAAGAAGGGUGCCUGUCCUCAAGCAGACCAAAAUAGGCUGCACUUAUCUCCAAGUGGAGGUCUGCUAUUCCACUUGCGUGCAGGAUACGCAAUACAUCUGGAAUAAUUAAUUUCUUAGCCUAUUGUUACUUUCUUGUGUAUCAGAUGUUUGCUACUUCUGAAGCCUGUUGACUGUAUUCAAUAUCUCUUCCUGUUUAACUUCGUUAUUCCGGUCUUAAAUUUUUUUUUUCUUUUAGGGCACGUCUUUUUAUUUUCCCUUGAACUAGAGAAUUUGCCUGAAGUAUGGAUGAGUCACAGAUACCAUAUUUCCUCUUCUCUGAAGCACAUUUACAUUUUUGAAGAAUUACAACUGACAAUGAUCAGCCAUACUUCCAAAAUAUCCUUUCAGGGAGGAGAAAGGAGGAACAGUGAUGCUGAAAUCAGCCCAAAAGGAGUUAUCAGCAACCAGUCAUGGGUCCCAAUGCCAGUGAUAGUUUUUUCCCCAGGACUUAGCAACAUAAAGCACAAUCUCUAUCCUCUGUUCAAGAGCCAGGAAUAGUGGAAAUGCAAAUGAGCACCAGCAAUCAGCUGUCCAACCACCUCUGACCAUAAGCUUGUUCAAAGUGGCACAUAGUUGAAAAGCAGCAGGCAGUGUCUUAUCUACGCUACAUUUUCUUCUUGACAAUACUGGAGUUAUAAUGUAGGCAGUUUGAAGAAGUUAAAAUCAAAACAGAAAAGGGAAAUCAGUUUUUCUCCUGGGAUUUAAACCAAGAGGAUCUACUACUGCCAAUUACUGUUGUCAUGCCAGAGUAGCUUGAUGUAAACCAGUGGGGUAACA